rnacentral:rRNA from 1 species
GACGAACCGUGCGAACGUUGUUCGGAAUCACUGGGCUUAAAGGGCGCGUAGGCGGCUUGCCAAGUCAGGGGUGAAAUCCUCCAGCUCAACUGGAGAAGUGCCCUUGAUACUGGCGAGCUCGAGGGAGGUAGGGGUGUGUGGAACUGCGAGUGUAGAGGUGAAAUUCGUAGAUAUUCGCAAGAACACCAGUGGCGAAGGCGGCUCACUGGCCCGGUACUGACGCUGAGGUGCGAAAGCGUGGGGAGCAAACAGG